UACGUAGGGUGCGAGCGUUAAUCGGAAUUACUGGGCGUAAAGCGUGCGCAGGCGGUUUGUUAAGUCAGAUGUGAAAGCCCCGGGCUUAACCUGGGAACGGCAUCCGAUACUGGAUGGCUUGAAUUCGGGAGAGGGAUGCAGAAUUCCAGGUGUAGCGGUGAAAUGCGUAGAUAUCUGGAGGAAUACCGGUGGCGAAGGCGGCAUCCUGGACCGACAUUGACGCUGAGGAGCGAAAGCCAGGGGAGCAAACGGG
rnacentral:rRNA from 1 species